rnacentral:rRNA from 1 species
UACAGAGGGUGCGAGCGUUAAUCGGAGUUACUGGGCGUAAAGGGCGCGUAGGCGGUUAUAUAAGUGAGAUGUGAAAUCCCUGGGCUUAACCUAGGAACUGCAUCUCAUACUGUAUGACUGGAGUAUUGUAGAGGGUAGUGGAAUUUCCGGUGUAGCGGUGAAAUGCGUAGAGAUCGGAAGGAACACCAGUGGCGAAGGCGGCUACCUGGACAAAUACUGACGCUGAGGCGCGAGAGCGUGGGGGAGCAAACAGGG